rnacentral:rRNA from 1 species
AUACGUAGGGGGCGAGCGUUGUCCGGAAUGAUUGGGCGUAAAGGGCGCGUAGGCGGCCCGGUAAGUCUGGAGUGAAAGUCCUGUUUUUAAGAUGGGAAUUGCUUUGGAUACUGUCGGGCUUGAGUGCAGGAGAGGUAAGUGGAAUUCCCAGUGUAGCGGUGAAAUGCGUAGAGAUUGGGAGGAACACCAGUGGCGAAGGCGACUUACUGGACUGUAACUGACGCUGAGGCGCGAAAGUGUGGGGAGCAAACAGGAUUAGAUACCCUGGUAGUCCACACUGUAAACGAUGAAUGCUAGGUGUAGGGGGUAUCGACCCCUUCUGUGCCGCAGGCAACACAAUAAGCAUUCCGCCUGGGGAGUACGGCCGCAAGGUUGAAACUCAAAGGAAUUGACGGGG